rnacentral:rRNA from 1 species
AUGAUGAAGCACUGGAUAGUUUUGGGAAGAACUGAAUUGAGGACUGGACUGAUGAGGAAAAAAGAAUUGAUUGAACUUUUGAGCGAGAAAACUGCCGCCGCUCUAUGGUUAAAGCUGGAAGGGAUUUGCAUGACUAAAGAUGUCACCAGCAAGAUGCAUCUGAAGCAAAAAUUAUUCCUACACAGGUUACCCGAGGGAGUUUAUGAAGCUUUGAACUCUAAGGAGAAGAUGAACUUAAUGGUGCCUCAUGAUGGUUCAAGUUCAUCCCAAGCCGAGGGAUUAUCUGUUCGUAGCAGGACAAAGAAGAAGAACUCACAUAAUGGAAACAAAGGCAAAAGUAAGGACGGCUACAGGGGCCGGUCGCAAUCCAGAGACAGGAAGUAUUGCAGGUAUUGCAAGAGAGACGGGCAUGACAUCUUAGAGUGUUUCAAGUUGCAGAAUAAAGAAAAGAGGAAAGGUAACAAACAAGGUGAAAUUUCUGCUAACGUUGUUCGUGAUGAUAGUUCCGAUGAUGCUCUUAUCAUUAUUGCUGGAUGUGCUGAGACCAAUGAUGAGUGGGUACUUGACAGUGCAUGCACUUUGCAUAUGUGUCCACAUAGAGAUUGGUUUAAUACAUUUGAUUUCACUACUACUGCUGGUUCCGUUUUGGGUGUUGAUAAUUCACCAUGCAAGAUUGAAGGCAUAGGUUCUAUUCGAAUCAAGAUGUUUGAUGGCAUAAUCAGAACUUCGACAGAUGUUCAGUAUAUUCCGAAGAUGAAGAGAAAUCUUAUUUCUAUGAGUGCCCUUGAUGCAAAGGGGUACAAGUAUUUAGGUGGAGAUAGUGUUUCGAAAGGCACCAAAGGUUCCCUUAUUGUGAUGAAAGGUGAUUUGAGUUCGACCAAUGGUCUUUAUUACCUUCGAGGUUCUACCGUUUCAAGUAACGCUACUCCAGUUAUUUCAAAGAAUUCUGAUUGUGAUGCUGCUAACCUUUGGCAUAUGCAUCUUGGACAUAUGAGUGAACUUGGUUUGGCAGAGUUAAAUAAGAGAGGUCUUCUUGAUGGAUAUGAACCUAGUAAAUUGGAAUUUUGUGAGCAUUGUAUCUUCGGCAAACACAAUAGGGUGAAGUUCAACACUUCGACUCAUACAACUGAAGCAUUUAAGGACUGGAAGAUUAUGAUUGAGAGACAAACUGAAAAGAAGAAUUAUUGCAAGUCUGAAGGCAUUGUCAGACACUACACCAUUCCUUGUGCUCCUCAACAAAACGAUGUUGCUGAGCGUAUGAACAGGACCAUUAUUUCCAGAGCCCGUUGCAUGUUGUCCAAUGCAGAAGAAAUUGAAGGUAAUGCUAAGCCUUCUUCAUUUUCCAAGGCUAUUAUUUCUGGUGAUAGUAAUAAGUGGAUGACUGCUAUGCAUGAUGAGAUGGAAUCACUUGAAAAGAAUGGCACUUGGGAUUUCUUAAGAUUACCUAGAGAGAAGAAACCUAUUCAUUGCAAGUGGGUUUUCAAGAGGAAAGAAGUUGUUUCUCCUAAUGAUGAGACAAGAUAUAAAGCAAGGUUGGUUGCGAAAGGUUAUAGUCAGAUUCCAGUCCUAUGGAUUUUGACGCACAAGGUGUUUAUGCUGAUUUGGAUGGAGUUAUAUACUUUCUUCGACUACUGGAGGGAAUUUGGCUCAAGUAUAUACGGUGUGGGCCUUUGCGUUGGUACCGACGCGUACGAGUACAACUCGUUUACUUGUCCUCCAAGGACUCUUGUAUUGCCCUCUUAUAUACCCCAUAACAAGUCGUGCUACGGAACAAACAAGCGCUCAAAAGAUAUCUCUUCUCUAGAGGUUUCACCCGGCCGCUCACAUUCGGCCAAGUGGCCUCUUGCUCAUCUCAAGAUAAGCCUUCUAGUCUCCUACUGCCCUUCCUCCUCCUCCAGCCAAAACGCGGCAAUCCCUGAAGCUACAAGAUUACCCUUCUUUCACCACUUCCCAUCUCAAACUGCAGCAAGCAAUCAAGAAACUCAGAGAAGGAAGAAGACAUAG